UUCCGGUUGAUCCCGCCGGAGGCCAUUGCUAUCGGAGUUCGAUUUAGCCAUGCUAGUCGCACGGGUUUAGACCCGUGGCGAAAAGCUCAGUAACACGUGGCCAAACUACCCUAUGGAUCAGAAUAACCUCGGGAAACUGAGGAUAAUUCUGAAUACCGCUCCUGCACUGGGAUGUGCGGAGCACGAAACGCUACGGCGCCGUAGGAUGUGGCUGCGGCCGAUUAGGUUGACGGUGGGGUAACGGCCCACCGUGCCCAUAAUCGGUACGGGUUGUGAGAGCAAGAGCCCGGAGACGGUAUCUGAGACAAGAUACCGGGCCCUACGGGGCGCAGCAGGCGCGAAACCUUUACACUGCACGACAGUGCGAUAAGGGAACUCCGAGUGCGAGGGCAUAGAGCCCUCGCUUUUGUACACCGUAAGGUGGUGCACGAAUAAGGGCUGGGCAAGACCGGUGCCAGCCGCCGCGGUAAUACCGGCAGCCCAAGUGAUGGCCGAUAUUAUUGGGCCUAAAGCGUCCGUAGCUGGCCGGACAAGUCCGUUGGGAAAUCCGCGCGCUUAACGCGCGGGCGUCCAGCGGAAACUGUCCGGCUUGGGGCCGGAAGACCUGAGGGGUACGUCCGGGGUAGGAGUGAAAUCCUGUAAUCUCGGACGGACCGCCUGUGGCGAAAGCGCCUCAGGAGGACGGACCCGACAGUGAGGGACGAAAGCCAGGGUCUCGAACCGGAUUAGAUACCCGGGUAGUCCUGGCUGUAAACGAUGUCCGCUAGGUGUGAUGCAGGCUACGGGCCUGCGCUGUGCCGUAGGGAAGCCGUGAAGCGGACCGCCUGGGAAGUACGUCUGCAAGGAUGAAACUUAAAGGAAUUGGCGGGGGAGCACUACAACCGGAGGAGCCUGCGGUUUAAUUGGAUUCAACGCCGGA
rnacentral:rRNA from 1 species